GGAAGGUUGACCGAGUGGUUUAUGGUGCUUGUCUUGAAAACAAGUGUGUCAGAAAUGGCACCGGCGGUUCGAAUCCGCCACCUUCCGCCA
rnacentral:tRNA from 1 species